rnacentral:rRNA from 1 species
UACGGGGGGGGCAAGCGUUGUUCGGAAUUACUGGGCGUAAAGGGCUCGUAGGUGGCCAACUAAGUCAGACGUGAAAUCCCCAGGCUCAACUUGGGAACUGCGUCUGAUACUGGAUGGCUUGAAUUCGGGAGAGGGAUGCAGAAUUCCAGGUGUAGCGGUGAAAUGCGCAGAUAUCAGGAGGAACACCGGUGGCGAAGGCGGAUCUCUGGGCCUUACCUGACGCUGAGGCGCGAAAGCUAGGGGAGCGAACAGG